rnacentral:rRNA from 1 species
AGAGUUUGAUCCUGGCUCAGGACGAACGCUGGCGGCGUGCCUAACACAUGCAAGUCGAGCGGAGACAGAGAGUAGCUUGCUACGAACUGUUUUAGCGGCGGACGGGUGAGUAACGCGUGAGCAACCUUUCCCAGACAGGGGAAUAACACACCGAAAGGUGUACUAAUACCGCAUAAGACCACGGUUUCACAUGGAACUGAGGUAAAAGAUUUAUCGGUUUGGGGUGGGCUCGCGUCCGAUUAGGUAGUUGGUGAGGUAACGGCCCACCAAGCCGACGAUCGGUAGCCGACCUGAGAGGGUGAUCGGCCACAUUGGGACUGAGACACGGCCCAAACUCCUACGGGAGGCAGCAGUGGGGAAUAUUGGGCAAUGGAGGAAACUCUGACCCAGCAACGCCGCGUGGAGGAAGAAGGUUUUCGGAUCGUAAACUCCUGUCCUUGGAGACGAGUAGAAGACGGUAUCCAAGGAGGAAGCCCCGGCUAACUACGUGCCAGCAGCCGCGGUAAUACGUAGGGGGCAAGCGUUAUCCGGAUUUACUGGGUGUAAAGGGAGCGUAGACGGCAAGGCAAGUCUGAUGUGAAAACCCGGGGCUCAACCCCGUGACUGCAUUGGAAACUGUUUUGCUUGAGUGCCGGAGAGGUAAGCGGAAUUCCUAGUGUAGCGGUGAAAUGCGUAGAUAUUAGGAGGAACACCAGUGGCGAAGGCGGCUUACUGGACGGUAACUGACGUUGAGGCUCGAAAGCGUGGGGAGCAAACAGGAUUAGAUACCCUGGUAGUCCACGCC